rnacentral:rRNA from 1 species
UGAGCUUGAUCCCUGGCUCAGGACGAACGCUGGCGGCGUGCCUAAUACAUGCAAGUCGAGCGGAAUGAUGAAGAAGCUUGCUUCUUCUGAUUUUAGCGGCGGACGGGUGAGUAACACGUGGGCAACCUACCUUGUAGAUUGGGAUAACUCCGGGAAACCGGGGCUAAUACCGAAUAAUCCAUUUUGCUUCAUGGCAAGAUGUUGAAAGGCGGCUUCGGCUGUCACUACGAGAUGGGCCCGCGGCGUAUUAGCUAGUUGGUAGGGUAAUGGCCUACCAAGGCGACGAUACGUAGCCGACCUGAGAGGGUGAUCGGCCACACUGGGACUGAGACACGGCCCAGACUCCUACGGGAGGCAGCAGUAGGGAAUCUUCCACAAUGGACGAAAGUCUGAUGGAGCAACGCCGCGUGAGUGAAGAAGGUUUUCGGAUCGUAAAACUCUGUUGUAAGGGAAGAACACGUACGAGAGUAACUGCUCGUACCUUGACGGUACCUUAUUAGAAAGCCACGGCUAACU